UACGUAGGGGGCUAGCGUUGUCCGGAAUCAUUGGGCGUAAAGCGCGCGUAGGCGGCCAGAUAAGUCCGGCGUGAAAGUCACAGGCUCAACCUGUGAAUGCCGCUGGAAACUGUCUGGCUAGAGUCCGGAAGGGGCGAGUGGAAUUCCUGGUGUAGCGGUGAAAUGCGCAGAUAUCAGGAAGAACACCCGUGGCGAAGGCGGUUCUCUGGGACGGUACUGACGCUGAGACGCGAAAGCGUGGGGAGCGAACAGG
rnacentral:rRNA from 1 species